AAAUGGAUCACCCGAUCCAAUGAUCCACUUUAAAAUAUUUGUAAGAAUUACAAAGGUAAAAAAUUAGAAAAAAAAAUCUUCGACCUUCAUUCUUCUCUGAUUUUCUCCGACAAUGGCGAGUGGACUCUGCAACUCCUCUAUCGACUUUGAUUCUUCUCUUCUCUUCCCCGGCAACGGCAAGUCUCCUUGAUUAACUUCAAUUCUUCUCCACUCUUCCCUGACAACGACGGCAACUCAUCUUAGGGUUUUCUCCGACAACGGCGAGUGGACUCUUCAACUUCUCCAUUGACUUUGAUUCUUCUCCUCUCUUCCCCGGCGACGGAAAAUCUCAUUCUUCUUCUUUCUUCCCCGGCGACGGCAGGUCUCCUUCGUCGAAUUGGAUUCUUCUCCGCUCUUCCUCGGCGGCGGCAACGCUUCUCCGGUUUUCUCAGACAAAGGCGAGUGGACUCUCCAACUCCCUUGACUCCUCCGUUGACUUCGAUUCUUCUUCUCUCUUCCUCGGUGACGGCAACUCUCAUUCGUCGACUUCGAUUCUUCUCUGCUCUUCCCUGGGACGACAACUCUUCUCCGGUUUUCUCCAACAACGCUUCUGAUGGUUCUCCAAGUACCACCAACCAGAUUGUAUCUUUUGAUGGUAAUGCAAGCUUCUCAACAUAUAGUUCUAAGGGGAUUUGGUAUUGAUCACUCACCAACGGAUCAGGCCCUCCACAACUCCUAUCACGAAGUUUAGAAGGAAUCAAAUGAUAGAGAAAGAAUAUAGAUGUUGAGAAAAGAAGUGGGUGAGCUUAAAGAAGUAAGAGAUGGGAAAGAAUAUCUACUUAGAAGCAAAAAGGAGCAUAAUAUGGAGCUUUCACCGAAGAUUAAAGACUUGCAGCAGAGACUAAGAGACUGAGUUUUGUUUAGUUGUAGAUUAUAGAAUUAUAUGGUGAAGGUGAAUUUUUAUGUACAACUAGAUUAUAUAGGUACAACUUACACAAUUUCGGUAUAACUUGAACUACUUGGUGCAACUGUAUUACAUGGAGCAAUGCUUAUUGUCA